UACAGAGGGUGCUAGCGUUGUUCGGAAUUACUGGGCGUAAAGGGCGCGUAGGCGGCCUACUAAGUCGGACGUGAAAUCCCUCGGCUCAACCGGGGAACUGCGUCCGAUACUGGUGGGCUCGAAUCCGGGAGAGGGAUGUGGAAUUCCAGGUGUAGCGGUGAAAUGCGUAGAUAUCUGGAGGAACACCGGUGGCGAAGGCGGCAUCCUGGACCGGUAUUGACGCUGAUGCGCGAAAGCCAGGGGAGCAAACGGG
rnacentral:rRNA from 1 species